AUAAUACAAGCAAUUCAAUACAAGCGAUUGCAAUUAUACCAGAUUUGCACGAGUGCAAACAACAACUAAUUCACAUGUGAAAGCAUCGAAACUAACUAAACAUUUAUCCACAUACAUGUCAUUUGAUUACAUUUGAAUCAAACACAAGUAAACCAUUAUUUAUAUUCAUUCUUUCCAUUUAUUUACAUCACAUUGUCCAUUAACCCAAAACACAUAAUUUACUUCUUUUUACAUUUCUAGUUCAACAUACA
rnacentral:lncRNA from 1 species